GGGUUGUGAGGUUAAGCGACUAAGCGUACACGGUGGAUGCCCUGGCAGUCAGAGGCGAUGAAGGGCGUGCUAAUCUGCGAUAAGCGCCGGUAAGGUGAUAUGAACCGUUAUAACCGGCGAUACCCGAAUGGGGAAACCCAGUGUGAUUCGUCACACUAUCAUUAACUGAAUCCAUAGGUUAAUGAGGCGAACCGGGGGAACUGAAACAUCUAAGUACCCCGAGGAAAAGAAAUCAACCGAGAUUCCCCCAGUAGCGGCGAGCGAACGGGGAGGAGCCCAGAGCCUGAAUCAGCAUGUGUGUUAGUGGAAGCGUCUGGAAAGGCGCGCGAUACAGGGUGACAGCCCCGUACACAAAAGCGCAUGUGCUGUGAGCUCGAUGAGUAGGGCGGGACACGUGGUAUCCUGUCUGAAUAUGGGGGGACCAUCCUCCAAGGCUAAAUACUCCUGACUGACCGAUAGUGAACCAGUACCGUGAGGGAAAGGCGAAAAGAACCCCGGCGAGGGGAGUGAAAAAGAACCUGAAACCGUGUACGUACAAGCAGUGGGAGCACAGGUUUACCUGUGUGACUGCGUACCUUUUGUAUAAUGGGUCAGCGACUUAUAUUCUGUAGCAAGGUUAACCGUAUAGGGGAGCCGUAGGGAAACCGAGUCUUAACCGGGCGUUAAGUUGCAGGGUAUAGACCCGAAACCCGGUGAUCUAGCCAUGGGCAGGUUGAAGGUUGGGUAACACUAACUGGAGGACCGAACCGACUAAUGUUGAAAAAUUAGCGGAUGACCUGUGGCUGGGGGUGAAAGGCCAAUCAAACCGGGAGAUAGCUGGUUCUCCCCGAAAGCUAUUUAGGUAGCGCCUCGUGAAUUCAUCUCCGGGGGUAGAGCACUGUUUCGGCUAGGGGGCCAUCCCGGCUUACCAACCCGAUGCAAACUGCGAAUACCGGAGAAUGUUAUCACGGGAGACACACGGCGGGUGCUAACGUCCGUCGUGAAGAGGGAAACAACCCAGACCGCCAGCUAAGGUCCCAAAGUCAUGGUUAAGUGGGAAACGAUGUGGGAAGGCCCAGACAGCCAGGAUGUUGGCUUAGAAGCAGCCAUCAUUUAAAGAAAGCGUAAUAGCUCACUGGUCGAGUCGGCCUGCGCGGAAGAUGUAACGGGGCUAAACCAUGCACCGAAGCUGCGGCAGCGACACUGUGUGUUGUUGGGUAGGGGAGCGUUCUGUAAGCCUGUGAAGGUGGCCUGUGAGGGUUGCUGGAGGUAUCAGAAGUGCGAAUGCUGACAUAAGUAACGAUAAAGCGGGUGAAAAGCCCGCUCGCCGGAAGACCAAGGGUUCCUGUCCAACGUUAAUCGGGGCAGGGUGAGUCGACCCCUAAGGCGAGGCCGAAAGGCGUAGUCGAUGGGAAACGGGUUAAUAUUCCCGUACUUGGUGUUACUGCGAAGGGGGGACGGAGAAGGCUAUGUUGGCCGGGCGACGGUUGUCCCGGUUUAAGCGUGUAGGUGUGUGUUCCAGGUAAAUCCGGUUCACUUUAACACUGAGGCGUGACGACGAGGCACUACGGUGCUGAAGCAACAAAUGCCCUGCUUCCAGGAAAAGCCUCUAAGCAUCAGGUAACAUCAAAUCGUACCCCAAACCGACACAGGUGGUCAGGUAGAGAAUACCAAGGCGCUUGAGAGAACUCGGGUGAAGGAACUAGGCAAAAUGGUGCCGUAACUUCGGGAGAAGGCACGCUGACACGUAGGUGAAGUGAUUUACUCAUGGAGCUGAAGUCAGUCGAAGAUACCAGCUGGCUGCAACUGUUUAUUAAAAACACAGCACUGUGCAAACACGAAAGUGGACGUAUACGGUGUGACGCCUGCCCGGUGCCGGAAGGUUAAUUGAUGGGGUCAGCGCAAGCGAAGCUCCUGAUCGAAGCCCCGGUAAACGGCGGCCGUAACUAUAACGGUCCUAAGGUAGCGAAAUUCCUUGUCGGGUAAGUUCCGACCUGCACGAAUGGCGUAAUGAUGGCCAGGCUGUCUCCACCCGAGACUCAGUGAAAUUGAACUCGCUGUGAAGAUGCAGUGUACCCGCGGCAAGACGGAAAGACCCCGUGAACCUUUACUAUAGCUUGACACUGAACAUUGAGCCUUGAUGUGUAGGAUAGGUGGGAGGCUUUGAAGUGUGGACGCCAGUCUGCAUGGAGCCGACCUUGAAAUACCACCCUUUAAUGUUUGAUGUUCUAACGUGGACCCGUAAUCCGGGUUGCGGACAGUGUCUGGUGGGUAGUUUGACUGGGGCGGUCUCCUCCUAAAGAGUAACGGAGGAGCACGAAGGUUGGCUAAUCCUGGUCGGACAUCAGGAGGUUAGUGCAAUGGCAUAAGCCAGCUUGACUGCGAGCGUGACGGCGCGAGCAGGUGCGAAAGCAGGUCAUAGUGAUCCGGUGGUUCUGAAUGGAAGGGCCAUCGCUCAACGGAUAAAAGGUACUCCGGGGAUAACAGGCUGAUACCGCCCAAGAGUUCAUAUCGACGGCGGUGUUUGGCACCUCGAUGUCGGCUCAUCACAUCCUGGGGCUGAAGUAGGUCCCAAGGGUAUGGCUGUUCGCCAUUUAAAGUGGUACGCGAGCUGGGUUUAGAACGUCGUGAGACAGUUCGGUCCCUAUCUGCCGUGGGCGCUGGAGAACUGAGGGGGGCUGCUCCUAGUACGAGAGGACCGGAGUGGACGCAUCACUGGUGUUCGGGUUGUCAUGCCAAUGGCACUGCCCGGUAGCUAAAUGCGGAAGAGAUAAGUGCUGAAAGCAUCUAAGCACGAAACUUGCCCCGAGAUGAGUUCUCCCUGAGACUUAGAGUCUCCUGAAGGAACGUUGAAGACGACGACGUUGAUAGGCCGGGUGUGUAAGCGCAGCGAUGCGUUGAGCUAACCGGUACUAAUGAACCGUGAGGCUUAACCUUACAACGCCGAAG
rnacentral:rRNA from 1 species